rnacentral:lncRNA from 10 species
GGGUAUGAGAGUCAUUUGUGGCAUAACUUCAACAGACAUGACAGGGCUGACUUUGAGUUGAAUUAUAAAAUUUCCAAAUGAGGAUGUCCAGGAACCAGAUAGACACGUGAGUUAGAAGCUCAGAAAGCAGGUCACCAUCACCUCUUAUCUGAUCAUUGCAACACUUGCUUACUUGUCCUCCUAUCACCAGAUCUGGCUCCUGACAAUUCACCUUGCGUAAAUAAUUUACAUUUCUAGAGAACAAGCUCUUUAUGGUACAUAGAAAUAAUCCUGUCAUACAGUGACCAUUCGGAGAGGGAUAAAAACCUUAUAUAUGAAACUUUCACUAAUAACCUGAAACAUCACCACAGAGACAGUUGGGUUAUCCUGUUUGUUUGGACAUCCACUUAUUCACUUGAAAUGCAGGAAAUCUAUUUGAAAAAAACAAAACAAAACAUGAUCAGUUACUUGAUACAAUCAUGAGAUGUGAUCGAGAAAAACUUAUUAAGGAAUUAUUUUGUCAGAGUCAGUCUCUCUCAACAAGGUAAGCUACUUUUUCAAUGUUUCUGAUUAGAGUAGAUCCUUGAUGUUUAUUAUCAGUGUCAUCAUCAUUAAUGAAAAUAGUACGAGAAUAUACAAAGAUGCAUAAGUGAGUAAUGGUGUAACAUUCUAACAUUUCUAAGAUGUGAAUUUGGAUCUUGCCAUGCAAGAUCGAAGAUUUACAGGCCAGUUGUUGACAUUGUAGUAUCCUCUCUUUGAACACUGGAAUUGAGCAACUUCAAAGAGUCAUUGGACCAAGGUCUUCAUGCUUCAAAUAAACCUGCAUCAAAGAAACCUGGCUAGAAGACAAAGAUCAUGCUUUAUUCCCCCACAAAAGGAUUAUGUUUAGAUUUAAUGUUGAUGCCUCAGUUAAGUGCUCACUUUGAAAAUCAAUACAACAUUGUGUGCUUGGUUGGCUCAAUACCUCUCAGUCAAUAUUAAUAAAAAAACAGCAACAA